GGAGAGGUGGCCGAGCGGCUGAAGGCGCUGCUCUCGAAAAGCAGAAUCCUGCCAGAAGCGGGAUCGUGGGUUCAAAUCCCACCCUCUCCGCCA
rnacentral:tRNA from 1 species